UUCAGGAAGGGCUUUUCUGUUUUGCAGCAGGUCAUCAUCUCCGUGAAUGGAUUUUAUAAACUGAAUGGAAGGCGCCAUGGAAGAUUUAACGCCGAGAUAUCCAGACUUUUCCGAUGGCCUCUUAUAGAAGGGAAUAAAAUAUCAAAGGAUGGAAUUAUAUUAUGCUCCGUAAAUAAUAAUAGCGUGCGAACGUUAGCCGGCGAAUCAUCAGCAGAGGACCGCGAUUCGUUGCUGUUGUAUUGAUUGACGAGUUGGCGUUCAGCGAUGAAAAUGUCCUUGCGCAUUUUGUCCCUCCAUCCACCGCCGCAAAAAGUCGUGUAGUCUUUCCCGUGUUUCAACUUGAAAUAAUGGAUUGCCAUCCGAGUUAAAAGAAAGAACCAAAUUUUAUUUUGGCUUCUUAUAUCUUUACCUUGUAAUCGUUCCAAGCGUGUUCUUCAGAAAAGCCGUUGGCGACGACUGCGAAUAAGGCGACAAACUGAAACGAAAAUUUCAUUCUACGCAUAUUACGCCGCUAUAGCGCCCAGCUAUUCAAAUGUGUAAAAAUUGAUAAGAAAAAAACUAUGGAAUAACUCAAUUUCGCAUGCCAAACAGAUUGUGAACACUGACGCUGGACGAAUACCACCUUUGCCUUCUAUGCACCUUACAGAAUGAGCUCGCUGCUAAAGGCGUCAAAUGGGUAAGGACGCCGUGUGUUGUAGUUCGGCGAGUGGUG